CGUUACUUUACAACCAUAACCAACCAGCUUUCUGGAAAAUACAACAAAAUGAAGCCAUCACGUUAGCUUUAGGGAAUUUGACAUAUAGGUGAACACACAUUAAAGAUGCAAUGCACCUAGGCAGUUAGCCCUUUCUAUCAUGCAUUUACUUCAGUUACGUGCGUCAAUCCAGCUUCUUAUAAUUGUGCCCCUUUUGAAUGUCUCCCAAACUCUCUUUUAUUUUCUUUGUUUCUCAUUCUCUUUCUCUUUCAUUUUUUUUUCUAUUUUUUUCUUUUUCUUUUUAAUGGUGGUCAAAUAUUAUGUGGAUUACCUACGUAUCAUGUCCCCGCAUGAAUCAGACCGUAUGUAACUGACAGAUAAAAGGUAGACAACAAUAAAACUUUUUUUCAAUUUUUAAUUUUCAUAAUAAAACAAACUUGACUACAAAGUUUUAAAAACUGACCAUACUAACAGACUUUGACGAAAAGACGACCUACAGACUUGAAAAUCAAACAUCGUACAUACUCUAAUCAAAAGAAUUACAAACUCAAAAACAAAUGGGCAGAUACCUUUCCAAAUUUGUCAAUUUCAACCAAAUGGCUAUUUUUGCAAACAUGGCCCCUUCCCAAUUUCUCAUGAACUUUGAGGUCGGGGAGGAUUAUUUUAUGAUAUUUUAUAAAUUUAUCUAUUCUUUUAUGAAAAUAGCCUUUCGACAACUGAAAGAUACUCUAAGGCUAUCUCGGCAAGAAUAGUGUAAUACACUGUCGAAGCUGGCUCGAGUUAUUUUGACCAAAAAUCCAAACGGCAUUCACUUGGCCACUGACUAUUUUUUUUCCUUUUUUUAAAUUAAAAUAAAAGACUUGAUUUUGCAAACACGUCCUUUCAGCACCUUGAGGACGAAGAUUUUAAGGCUGCGCUAGCUAACCGCCCAAAAUCUUAAAAAUGACCAAAGGUGGUUGGUUAUGAAAAAUCAACCUUUCGGCGUCCCUUUGGGAAAAUUUGGCUAUUUUUGACAAAAAUGCAUCACCCGAUUUAUUUAUGACAAAAAUUAAAAUUUUGGUAUUUUUUGGAUAUUUUUUGCAAAAAGGGGAGGUUGAACCCGAUGAGGUUGCAUACGUAUCUCACAUCCGGUGAGAAUCAAACAUGCAUAAUUUGGGCAAGAAAAAUAAACUAAAUUUGAAAACAAGACUCUAUUUUUUUCAAAUAAGUUAAACUAAAAAACACUUUUCUUUCAUUUUUAUUUUCUCAAAAUUUCGGCAGGGUUUUGAAACUACUUGGGCAUUGGUUUUAUUUUUCUAAAAAUAAGUAGUUAUCUCUCUACACUGCUAUUUUUUUCUUUUUCUCUUUUUCACAAUUGCCGGUCAACAUGUAAAUUUGAAGCAGAUAAAUGCGUAAAACAAGUAGAAUGCAGCAGGAUGGUCAUUUCAUUUCAGGUUGCUUGUCCUAGACGAACCCAACCCAUGUGUUGAGUCCCUUAAGUAAAAAAUCCAUACGAUGCACACAAACGUUCCUACUAGGGAUCCGGCAUAAGGUAUUGUUAUACUAGGUUUAAUGCUUGGAGAAUAUUGUUCUAGACCUGACUUACCCAAGCAGACAGCUCGAGCCGAAGUGGGAGCAACGUACCAGGAGCAAGAAAGUCUGUCCGGCCUAGUUACUCGAUCCAACCUCGUUCUAUUUGGUAUGACUCCUAACACAAAGUGGGCCACGUGCACAUGUGCUCCAUAGAUUCAGAAGACUUAGGCAGAAGAAGGGUUUCGUAGCAGUUUAUAUACACUGUUCAAAUAAUAUCAAAGCAGUAAAAAGUAGCAUUUUACACAUUAAAUCCAAAAAUAUAAUAAAAAUCAGAUAAUAAACAAAGCUAAAUACAAAAUUAUUCUAAGCUCGAAUUAUUGAACCUUGAACAUCCCCCAGCAGAGUCGCCAGAGCUAUCGCACCUCCUUUUUACCUACACCCGCAAGGGCGUAUCAGAGUUUUCCCAAUUAAAGGACAAUCGAAAUGGAAUUUAUUAUUAAGAUUCAGAGUCGCCACUUGGGAAAUUUAUGGUGUCCCAAGACAUUGGUUGAAUCCUGAAUCGAGGAAAAGAUUGACUCUGCAUUACAGUCCGCAAACAAAAACUCCGAGUAAGAAAUUGUGUUAACCCGGGAGAAGGUGUUAGGUUUCCCGAGUUCCGCGGUUCUAGCACAGUCGCUCAACUGUUAUAUUUUGCUUAAGUUAUCUGAUUUUAACAAUUAUAAACCUAUGUGCAAAUUUUAACCUUAACCACUUUUAUUCAUUUUUAAAGAAAAUUGCAAUGUAUUUAAAACAAGUCUUGAACCAUGUCACAUAAAUGCACCCGUGGUUUUUGGACAUACUUUAACAUCGUUGGGAUUUGGAUUUGAGUCUACAGUCCGCAAACAAAAUAUAAUAAAAAUCAGAUAAUAAACAAAGCUAAAUACAAAAUUAUUCUAAGCUCGAAUUAUUGAACCUUGAACAUCCCCCAGCAGAGUCGCCAGAGCUAUCGCACCUCCUUUUUACCUACACCCGCAAGGGCGUAUCAGAGUUUUCCCAAUUAAAGGACAAUCGAAAUGGAAUUUAUUAUUAAGAUUCAGAGUCGCCACUUGGGAAAUUUAUGGUGUCCCAAGACAUUGGUUGAAUCCUGAAUCGAGGAAAAGAUUGACUCUGCAUUACAGUCCGCAAACAAAAUAUAAUAAAAAUCAGAUAAUAAACAAAGCUAAAUACAAAAUUAUUCUAAGCUCGAAUUAUUGAACCUUGAACAUCCCCCAGCAGAGUCGCCAGAGCUAUCGCACCUCCUUUUUACCUACACCCGCAAGGGCGUAUCAGAGUUUUCCCAAUUAAAGGACAAUCGAAAUGGAAUUUAUUAUUAAGAUUCAGAGUCGCCACUUGGGAAAUUUAUGGUGUCCCAAGACAUUGGUUGAAUCCUGAAUCGAGGAAAAGAUUGACUCUGCAUUACAGUCCGCAAACAAAAACUCCGAGUAAGAAAUUGUGUUAACCCGGGAGAAGGUGUUAGGUUUCCCGAGUUCCGCGGUUCUAGCACAGUCGCUCAACUGUUAUAUUUUGCUUAAGUUAUCUGAUUUUAACAAUUAUAAACCUAUGUGCAAAUUUUAACCUUAACCACUUUUAUUCAUUUUUAAAGAAAAUUGCAAUGUAUUUAAAACAAGUCUUGAACCAUGUCACAUAAAUGCACCCGUGGUUUUUGGACAUACUUUAACAUCGUUGGGAUUUGGAUUUGGGUCACAUAAAUGCGCACCCGAGUUUAGGGAUGUAAUGUUAUUAAAAUACACACCUAAAGAGACUAACGCAUUAUUAUUUUGGGGAGGACUGUGAAAUUCGCUAAAAGACCCGUCUCGAAAUCUAAGUAUUUUAAUAUAUACAUUUAACAGGGGCCCUGCAAUUUAUGUAUUUUGUUUAGCAAGGCUCAUCCAGUUUUAUUAUUUUAAAGUGCAAACCUAGAGCAAUUUAUAGUUUCUGCUUAAUUUUCUCUAAAAUAAAAGAAAUGUCUUAAUUAAUUUGUUAUUGGACUGAUGCAAACUAAGCAAUAUUUUUGCACCAACAUCCGACCAUUGGGGUCCAAUGUGAGCCUAGCAGAGGGAAUUUAAAACCAGAUAUACACCAUAAAAUCGUCCAAAACAGACCUUGGCCCAGACCUAAAUUAAAAAGGGGCCAAAACAGGCCUGGGCCGUGCAUCAGUUAUCCUGAGGCCCAAACGUUUAGGGACUAGCCUGUUAAGCCCUGUAUUUUACAAUAAAUGGAAUUUUAAUUGAAUUAAGAAAACCAAUAUAAUUAAUCUACUACUAAAAUUAACUAGCCAGUAAAAUAAAUUCAAUGCAACAUUAAACAUGAGUUGGAAAGCAACUGAUUUCAGAUUUCAUGACCCACGUAAACUGCUUCUGAUCACAAUUUCAAACAUGGUGCAUACUAGUUUAAAUUUUAAAUUCCCUACUAUGACUCAUUUUUAUUAAAAUGCUGACUCAUAAACUUUGAUUAAACACUAACGUGACCACAUAUGAGAAUUGAAACUCGAGAAUUAAGGAUGUUGGACGAAAAUAGAUUGCCUAACCUUACGAAUUACAUAUCUCAUAUCUACUUUUAGCUUUCUGAUUUCGAACCCACACACAAUCACUCUAACUCAGAAUUAUAGAUUAACUCACAUCAUCACUACUAAAUAUAAAACUCCCAUGAUCAGAACAAGUAUCACACUACUUUAACAGUCUACAGCCUCAUUAAUCACAACUUGAAAAUAUCAUUUAUACAGAUCUAGGAAAAUUGGAAGCUAAACUAAUAGAAACUAUCAUGUUAGUCCAGCAUGGAAUUAUUACAACGAAUACUCAACUAAACUCAUAUGCAUUUCUAAAUAUCUAACACACACUUAACGGUUCAAAUGCACAAACUUAUGAUUAAUAGUCCAUUAGUACGGUUAUUACAGUACAAUGAAAGCAGUAAAUCAACAAUAGGCCUCCACUUCAACAAUAAUAGGCCUCCACUUCAUUCAUUUUCAAAUGGAUAUUUACAUACAUCGAAUUUCAGGACAUGUACCUGGUAUGUAGAAUAGAAAAAUGGGGUAAGCAAUCAGCAACAACAAACAGCAAAAUACAGCAGCAGAAAGCCUAACACAAUAGCUUCAACACCUCAAUCCAGAAAUCCCAGCAACACGGAGAAAACCAGUAAAAAUAGAGAAGAAAAAUAGUCCGAAAAUCUCUCUUUGUUUUCUAUUUCUAGCUUUGAACUCUCUCUGGCUUUCUUCCGCUCUCAAUAUUUCAGAAAUUUGGUUUUAUCCUUUUACUCUCUCCAAAAUGAAUUCUGCCCCUGUAUAUUUAAGGUAUCAAAAAGGUAUAUCGCGUGUAUACGGCUGUCUCCUCCCCCUCUUUUUUCGUCUCCUCUACUUUUUU
rnacentral:lncRNA from 1 species